GGGCUUAUGGUCUAGGGGUAUGAUUUUCGUUUCGCAUCGCUUUGUCUGUGAUUAUGAAAGGUCGGGGGUUCAAUUCCCCCUGAGUCCA
rnacentral:tRNA from 1 species